CGUAGGGGCGAAGCGUUGUCCGGAAUUAUUGGGCGUAAAGACGCUCGCAGGCGGUCUUUUAAGUUCUGAUGUGAAAUCUCGCGGCUUAACCGCGAAUGGUCAUUGGAAACUGGAGGACUUGAGUACAGAAGAGGAGAGUGGAAUUCCACGUGUAGCGGUGAAAUGCGUAGAGAUGUGGAGGAACACCAGUGGCGAAGGCGACUUCUCUGGGUCUGUAACUGACGCUGAGGAGCGAAAGCGUGGGAGCGAACAGGAUU
rnacentral:rRNA from 1 species